rnacentral:rRNA from 1 species
AUGUUCGAGUACUAUCAUAUUGGCAACAGAAUGUUUCAUAGUGAGGAUGAAGGAUAUAGAUUCUAUAACAAAUAUGUUCUUCUGAAAGGUUUUAGUGUGAGGAAAAGUUAUGUUAAGUGGGAUGGAUCCAACAAUCAGAUAAUUUUAAGGAAAAUUGUGUGUAGUCGUGAAGGGGUUCAUGAAGAGAAGAACAUGAAGAGGAAGAUGGAAGAUAGAAAGAGGAGGCCACAGAUUAUAACUCAUGCUGGGUGUGAAGCUAAAUUGGUCAUUGCAUGACAUGAGGAAACAUGUCAAUCAUUUGUGAAGGAUUUCAUCGAUGAACACAACCAUCCGCUAGCUCCAUGGGAUCUUUCGUGUCUUUUGCAUUCGCACAGAUGAAUUAGCGAUGGGCAGAAAGCGGACAUUGCAGACAUGGAAUCUGGGAUCUGCAAACACCAUAUUAUGGAUAUUUUGUGCAUGCAAUAUGGUGGAUAUGAUCAGGUUGGAUGCACGAGGAGGUACAGUUAGAAUUUCCGCCAUGCUAGUAAGCAGGAAUCAAUCACUGUUGAUGAUGCUCAAACGGUGAUCAGUCACAUGAUGGCGCGACGUGAGCAAGAUCCGGAUUUUUCUUCAAGUACUUGUGAUGAAAUUGGCCAUCUGAAGGGACUGUUCUAGUAUGAUCGGCAAUCCUGACUUGACUAUGAGGCUUUUGGAGAUGUUAUUGUUUUUGAUAGCACAUACAGAACAAAUAAGUACAAUCUACCAUAUGUGCCAUUUGUCGGGUUGAAUCACCACCGCAACACUAUUAUUUUUGGAUGUGGUAUCAAUUCUCAUGAAAAAAGCCAGGCAUAGGAGUGUAUGUUGCAGUCCUUUUCUGAUGCCAUGGGGCAGAAGCAUCUGAUAUUUGUGAUCACGGACGAGGACCUUGCAAUGCAGAGAGCAAUUAGGAUGGUCUGACCUAACUCAAACCAUAGGUUGUGUAUAUGGGACAUUCAGCAGAACAUUGUACGUCAUCUUCAUGAUGACGCGGUAAAGGAGGAAUUAAGAUCUUUCAUAUAUGGUUCAUCUUCCAUGGAAGAGUAUGAUAGAAAACAGAUACAAUUCUUACAACGAAAUGAAGUAACUAGUGAGGAGUCCUGGCUGCAUCAAAUGUAUCAGAUGAGAAAGUUGUGGUGUGCUCCAUAUCUUGAGGGGCAUUGUUUCCUAGGAUUGAGCAGUAAUCAGCGGAGUGAGAUCUUGAACUCUGUGCUACAUACGCAUCUUGAGGGUAAGAUGACGUUGUUUCAAAUAGUAGAGCAUUAUGAGGGUUUCCUUGCAACGUAACGCUUGAACGAGGCUCUCCAAGACAUCGAGACCUUGCGGUUCAUUUCAUUUACAGAGGAAAAUGCUUCAACUUUUGAGAAAUACGUCGCAACAAUUUUCACUCCUACUAUGUUUAAGUUGGUCUUAUGAAGCAUAAAUGUUGUCAGCAAAUGUGUGAUCAGAGAGGUACUAGAUGCAUCAGAAGUUACCACCUAUGUUGUGUCUAAGAAAGAAAGAAUGGAUAAAAAGUUCGAAAUGCGCAGUGAGAAGCAGGAAGGUGCAAUCGACGAACCUUGA